CUAAUACCGCAUACGUCCUACGGGAGAAAGCAGGGGACCUUCGGGCCUUGCGCUAUCAGAUGAGCCUAGGUCGGAUUAGCUAGUUGGUGAGGUAAUGGGCUCACCAAGGCGACGAUCCGUAACUGGUCUGAGAGGAUGAUCAGUCACACUGGAACUGAGACACGGUCCAUACUCCUACGGGAGGCAGCAGUGGGGAAUAUUGGACAAUGGGCGAAAGCCUGAUCCAGCCAUGCCGCGUGUGUGAAGAAGGUCUUCGGAUUGUAAAGCACUUUAAGUUGGGAGGAAGGGCAGUAAGUUAAUACCUUGCUGUUUUGACGUUACUGACAGAAUAAGCACCGGCUAACUCUGUGCCAGCAGCCGCGGUAAUACAGAGGGUGCAAGCGUUAAUCGGAAUUACUGGGCGUAAAGUGUGUGUAGGUGGUUCGUUAAGUUGGAUGUGAAGCCCCGGGCUCAACCUGGGAACUGCAUCCAAAACUGGCGAGCUAGAGUACGGUAGAGGGUGGUGGAAUUUCCUGUGUAGCGGUGAAAUGCGUAGAUAUAGGAAGGAACACCAGUG
rnacentral:rRNA from 1 species